ensembl:lncRNA
UCUGAUUAAGAGCAUCUGCUAAAUUAACUAAAUAUUAAUGUCAUUUGAGUCACUUAUUGUAAAUAUGAAUAUAAUAUUUCUGAACACUUCUACAUUAAUGUGGAUGCUACCAUGAUUACAUAGAAUUGUGAAUGAUGAGUGAGAAAGUUGGAAGCACAAAGAUUAUACCAAGAACAUGCUAACCUCUCACCCUUACCAAUAACGUGAGCAAAGCAUAUUUUGUGGAGGGUGUGAGAUAUGCCUCAACUUUCUCACACAUAAUUAUUCAUGUUUUUCUGUAAUCAUGGUAGCAUCCACAUGAAUCAAUGACAAUUCCCUCAAAUUAAAGCUGACAGUCAGCAAUUUAACUUCAGUCAUUGUAUAAUUUCAAAUCUAAAGUGCUGGAGUACAGAACCAAAACAACAAAAUGUUUCACUGUCCAAAUACUUUUGAAACUCACUUUGUUUCAUAAAUGCCAAAAGUGUUCUUGAAAGAAUAGUUUAUUUUUGAACAAUUAGAUGGCCAUUUUUGUCCACUCCAAAAAAAAAAAAAAAAAAAGUUUUUGUACGAUGUCUGUUUGAAACCAUUUUUAUGGUAUAUUUGCCAGGACUCUUUUGUAAGUACUUAAAUGUAAAUGGAAUGGCAGGGGAAAGGAUAAAAUAACAUGGAGGGUCAUUUGAAACAAUGCAAUGUGGCAGACGCAUUGCUUGCCAAUUAAAGACUUAAGGGAAUUUUUUUUUUUUUGUAGCCUGAUGUUUGAAUGUACAGCAUAAGUGUCAAGAACAGGAAAAAAUGUCCUUAGAACCUUUGUAUAAAAAAAAAAACACUUUCGGUGUAUGUGAUUACUUUGCAUAUAUGGUAAUGAACUCUAAUAAAUGGUGGAAUUCGUUUUGCAUGGCCCGGUGCCCCAGGUGGGUGGAGAUUUCACUUAAGGACCAAUGGAAUGGUCUUCAAUGAGCAAAUUCGGGUCACCGGGCCAUGCAGAACUAACUCGACCAUUGAGAUACUUGAAGAGAGGAGAUCCAAUAAGAACACUGUAGAACUGUCAUGUGACACAUAGCCUUUCUGGAUUGGACAGUGACCACAAGGCUGUAAACAUUUUUAUUUAUUUUUUUUGUUUGCCCUGAAAAUCAUGAUAUGAGAGUGUGUACAUUUUACUUUAGUGUGUUAAGAACUUGAGAAUUAAAGUAUUUUGGGGGGAGAUUGUUCCUGGCAAGUCUUUGUUUUGUUUUGGAAAGUAAUAUUUAUUAAAAUAUUUUGUACAAAAA